rnacentral:rRNA from 1 species
AUUGAACGCUGGCGGCAGGCCUAACACAUGCAAGUCGAGCGGAUGACGGGAGCUUGCUCCUCGAUUCAGCGGCGGACGGGCGAGUAAUACCUAGGUAUCUGCCUGAUAGUGGGGGACAACGUUUCGAAAGGAACGCUAAUACCGCAUACGUCCUACGGGAGAAAGCAGGGGACCUUCGGGCCUUGCGCUAUCAGACUAGCCUAGGUCGGAUUAGCUAGUUGGUGAGGUAAUGGCUCACAAAGGAGAAGAUCCGUAACUGGUCUGAGAGGAUGAUCGGUCACACUGGAACUGAGACGCGGUCCAGACUCGAACGUGCGGCAGCAGUGGGGAGUAUUGGAACAUGGUCGCAAGCCUGAUCCAGGCAUGCCGCGUGUGUGAAGAAGGUCUUCGGAUUGUAAAACACUUUAAGUUGGGAGGAAAAGCAGUAAGCUAAUAACUUGCUGUUUUGACGUUACCGACAGAAUAAGCACCGGCUAACUCUGUGCCAGCCGCCGCGGUAACAC